rnacentral:lncRNA from 1 species
CACGAACGCGACGGCAUUGAACAAGGCGACGCCGGUGAACUUCCUGCAGCACGUGUACCUGAACCUGGGCGGGCAGGGCAGCGGCGACAUCCUGGGCCACACGCUCCAGCUCUCGGCCUCCCGGUACACCCCGAUGGACGAGGAGCUCCUCCCGUCGUCCGGCCGCGUCGACCCCGUGGCCGGCACCAGCUACGACUUCCGCACGCCGACGCCCAUCGGCGCGCGCAUCCGGCAGGUCAUGGGCGGCAAAGUCUACGGGUACGACAUCAACUACGUGAUCGACGGGGAAGGCAUGCGGAAGGUGGCGGUGGCGCGGGACGGCAAGUCCGGGCGUGCGCUGGAGCUGUGGGCCAACCAGCCGGCCAUGCAGCUCUACACCGGCAACUUUCUCAACCACACCAAGGGCAAGGGCGGCAAGGUGUACGAGCAGUACGGCGGGUUUUGCCUUGAGACGCAGGCGUACCCGGACGCCGUGAACCACCCCGAGUUCCCGUCGGUCACGGUGAGGCCCGGCCAGGUGUACAAGCACGACAUGCUCCUCAAGUUCUCCUUCUAGCUAAGGCUGAACUAUGGCUGCGGCACGGUAGCAAUAGUACCACCAUUGGUUGAUGGGUCGUAGAUGUGUUCGCUCUGGAUUUGGAGGUGGCGCGAUUCGUGGGACUCGAUGCUGUU